rnacentral:rRNA from 1 species
UGGGGAAUAUUGGGCAAUGGGCGCAAGCCUGACCCAGCCACGCCGCGUGAGUGAUGAAGGCCUUCGGGUCGUAAAGCUCUGUGGGGAAGGACGAAAAAACAUUGGCUAAUAUCCAAUGGCUUGACGGUACUUCCUUAGCAAGCACCGGCUAACUCUGUGCCAGCAGCCGCGGUAAUACAGAGGGUGCAAACGUUGCUCGGAAUCAUUGGGCGUAAAGCGCACGUAGGCGGCCUGAUAAGUCGGUAGUGAAAGCCCUCGGCUUAACCGAGGAAGUGCUAUCGAAACUGCCAGGCUUGAGUACCGGAGAGGAUCGCGGAAUUCCCGGUGUAGAGGUGAAAUUCGUAGAUAUCGGGAGGAACACCAGUGGCGAAGGCGGCGAUCUGGACGGAUACUGACGCUGAGGUGCGAAAGCGUGGGGAGCAAACAGGAUUAGAUACCCUUGUAGUCCCUGAGCGGGCUGGCAAGGCGCAU